rnacentral:rRNA from 1 species
UACGAAGGGGGCUAGCGUUGCUCGGAAUCACUGGGCGUAAAGCGCACGUAGGCGGGUCCUUAAGUCAGGGGUGAAAUCCUGGAGCUCAACUCCAGAACUGCCUUUGAUACUGGGAAUCUCGAGUCCGGGAGAGGUGAGUGGAACUGCGAGUGUAGAGGUGAAAUUCGUAGAUAUUCGCAAGAACACCAGUGGCGAAGGCGGCUCACUGGCCCGGUACUGACGCUGAGGCACGAAAGCGUGGGGAGCAAACAGG